ensembl:misc_RNA Y_RNA Y RNA
GGCUGGUCUGAAGGUAAUGAGUUAUUUUAAUUUACUGUUCACAGUCAGUUACAGAUCAAAUUUUGUGUUCUAUGCUUUCACCCCCUCCUCACUAUUGCACUUGACUAGUCCUGA